GAUCAUGGCUCAGGAUGAACGCUAGCUACAGGCUUAACACAUGCAAGUCGAGGGGCAGCAUUGGAGUAGCAAUACUCAGAUGGCGACCGGCGCACGGGUGAGUAACACGUAUCCAACCUGCCGCUUACUCGGGGAUAGCCUUUCGAAAGAAAGAUUAAUACCCGAUGGUAUAAAGAGUUCGCAUGUUCUCUUUAUUAAAGAAUUUCGGUAAGCGAUGGGGAUGCGUUCCAUUAGAUAGUUGGCGGGGUAACGGCCCACCAAGUCUACGAUGGAUAGGGGUUCUGAGAGGAAGGUCCCCCACAUUGGAACUGAGACACGGUCCAAACUCCUACGGGAGGCAGCAGUGAGGAAUAUUGGUCAAUGGACGAGAGUCUGAACCAGCCAAAAGUAGCGUGAAGGAUGACUGCCCUAUGGGUUGUAAACUUCUUUUAUAAGGGAAUAAAGUGAGGGACGUGUCCCUUUUUGUAUGUACCUUAUGAAUAAGGAUCGGCUAACUCCGUGCCAGCCGCCGC
rnacentral:rRNA from 1 species